CUGUUGCAUGAGCCGCAUCUGCGAGAUGUGUGAUAAUUUUCUAGGAUGGUAUUAGGCAAACUCGUUUACCUUGUCAAAGAAAUUAGACAUUAAUGAAGCAACGUAAUUGUGGGAACGCGGAAAAGACGGCUCGAGUAAAUCUGAAAAUAAAACGGUUUUGCAAAAUUAUUUCAUGUCGUUAUUAAAUACACAAUUUUUGCUUGAA